AGAGUUUGAUUACGGCUCAGGAUGAACGCUAGCGGCAGGCUUAACACAUGCAAGUCGAGGGGCAGCGGGUUGUAGCAAUACAAUGCCGGCGACCGGCGAAAGGGUGAGUAACGCGUGAGCAACAUGCCCGAUACUGGAGGAUAGUCGAUGGAAACGUCGCGUAAUACUCCGUAACAACAGGGACCGCAUGGUUUUUGUUUAAUAGAUUUAUCGGUAUCGGAUUGGCUCGCGUCCCAUUAGGCAGUUGGCGGGGUAACGGCCCACCAAACCGACGAUGGGUAGGGGUUCUGAGAGGAAGGUCCCCCACAUUGGAACUGAGACACGGUCCAGACUCCUACGGGAGGCAGCAGUGAGGAAUAUUGGUCAAUGGCCGAGAGGCUGAACCAGCCAUGCCGCGUGCGGGAGGACGGCCUAUGGGUUGUAAACCGCUUUUGUUGGGGAGCAAUAAGGAGCACGUGUGCUUCGAUGAGAGUACCCAGCGAAUAAGCAUCGGCUAACUCCGUGCCAGCCGCCGC
rnacentral:rRNA from 1 species